GCUGGGUGUAGUGGUGCAUGCCUGUAAUCCCAGCACUUAGGAGGCUGAGGCAGGAGGAUCAUGUUCAAAGCCAGCCUCAG
rnacentral:sRNA from 1 species